rnacentral:rRNA from 1 species
CGGCGGACGGGUGAGUAACGCGUGGGUAACCUGCCUUACACAGGGGGAUAACAGUUAGAAAUGACUGCUAAUACCGCAUAAGACCCCGGUACCGCAUGGUACAGAGGUUAAAAACUGAGGUGGUGUAAGAUGGACCCGCGUCUGAUUAGGUAGUUGGUGAGGUAACGGCUCACCAAGCCGACGAUCAGUAGCCGGCCUGAGAGGGUGGACGGCCACAUUGGGACUGAGACACGGCCCAGACUCCUACGGAAGGCAGCAG